rnacentral:tRNA from 1 species
GGGGUUGUGGCUCGGUGGUAGAGCACUUGCCUAGCAUGUGGGAGGUACUGGGUUAGAUUUUCAGCACCACAUAUAAACAAAUAAAUAAAUAAAUGUCUAUUGACAAGAAAAUAUUUUUUAAACAAUACAGAAAUAUAGAUCAGUGAUAAAGAGCUUGUCAGAUCUGGGUUCAAAUCCCAGCAGAUCCU